CCUACGGGGGGCUGCAGUGGGGAAUCUUCCGCAAUGGGCGAAAGCCUGACGGAGCAACGCCGCGUGAACGAAGAAGGCCUUCGGGUCGUAAAGUUCUGUCCUCAGGGAAGAACCCUCAUGGUAGGGAAUGACCAUGAGCUGACGGUACCUGGGAAGGAAGCCCUGGCUAACUACGUGCCAGCAGCCGCGGUAAUACGUAGAGGGCAAGCGUUGUCCGGAAUCACUGGGCGUAAAGGGUACGUAGGCGGAUAUAUAAGUCAAAUGUGAAAGGCACCGGCUUAACCGGUGAGCUGCAUUUGAAACUGUAUAUCUUGAGUUCAGGAGAGGAGAGCGGAAUUCCUGGUGUAGCGGUGGAAUGCGUAGAUAUCAGGAAGAACACCAGUGGCGAAGGCGGCUCUCUGGCCUGAAACUGACGCUCAGGUACGAAAGCUGGGGUAGCAAACGGGAUUAGAUACCCCUGUAGUC
rnacentral:rRNA from 1 species